AUUGAACGCUGGCGGCAUGCUUUACACAUGCAAGUCGAACGGUAACAGGCCGCAAGGUGCUGACGUGUGGCGCACGGGUGUGUAUUGCACCGGAACGAGCCCCCCCUUGGGGGGUAACUACUCGAAAGAGUAGCUAAUACCGCAUACGAUCUAUGGUUGAAAGCGGGGGUCCGUAAGGACUCGUGCGAUUGGUGCGGCCGAUGUCAGAUGAGGUAGUUGGGGGGGUAAAGGAUCACCACGCCAACGAUCUGUAGCUGGUCUGAGAGGACGAUCGGCCACACGAGGACGGAGACACGGACCAGGGGCCUACGAGAGGCAGCAGUGGGGAAUGUUGGACAAUGGUCGCAAGCCUGAUCCAGCAAUGCCGCGUGCAGUAAGAAGGCCUUCGGGUUGGAAACUGCUUUUGUACGGAACGAAACGGCUCUGGUUAAUACCCGGGGAUAAUGACGGUACCGGAAGAAUAAGCACCGGCUAACUACGUG
rnacentral:rRNA from 1 species